rnacentral:rRNA from 1 species
AUUGAACGCUGGCGGCAGGCUUAACACAUGCAAGUCGAGCGGAGAUGAGGUGCUUGCACCUUAUCUUAGCGGCGGACGGGUGAGUAAUGCUUAGGAAUCUGCCUAUUAGUGGGGGACAACAUUCCGAAAGGAAUGCUAAUACCGCAUACGCCCUGCGGGGGAAAGCAGGGGAUCUUCGGACCUUGCGCUAAUAGAUGAGCCUAAGUCGGAUUAGCUAGUUGGUGGGGUAAAGGCCUACCAAGGCGACGAUCUGUAGCGGGUCUGAGAGGAUGAUCCGCCACACUGGGACUGAGACACGGCCCAGACUCCUACGGGAGGCAGCAGUGGGGAAUAUUGGACAAUGGGCGGAAGCCUGAUCCAGCCAUGCCGCGUGUGUGAAGAAGGCCUUUUGGUUGUAAAGCACUUUAAGCGAGGAGGAGGCUACCUGGAUUAAUACUCUAGGAUAGUGGACGUUACUCGCAGAAUAAGUACCGGCUAACUCUGUGCCAGCCGCCGCCGGUAA